UACGAAGGGGGCUAGCGUUGCUCGGAAUUAUUGGGCGUAAAGAGCUCGUAGGCGGUCUGUUGCGUCGGCUGUGAAAACCCGGGGCUCAACCCCGGGCCUGCAGCCGAUACGGGCAGACUAGAGUUCGGUAGGGGAGACUGGAAUUCCUGGUGUAGCGGUGAAAUGCGCAGAUAUCAGGAGGAACACCGGUGGCGAAGGCGGGUCUCUGGGCCGAUACUGACGCUGAGGAGCGAAAGCGUGGGGAGCGAACAGG
rnacentral:rRNA from 1 species